rnacentral:lncRNA from 1 species
AUAAAAUGUUUGGCUGAAAGGUUUGGGAACUCUCGUGCUCCAGGGCAGGGGGAUCCCAGCCGAAUUCCCGUUAUUCCCAGCUCUAAAACUCCCCGUUUUUCCUCUCCCGAAGCCGUCACUCACCCCUGGCGCCGAUGCCGCCCCGGCCCAUGGCUCCGCCCCGGCCCAGCCCGCCCCUGCCCGGGCCCCCGCGGCCUCGCAGCGCUCCGGCUCCUCCUCCUCGCCGCAGCCCCAUGCGCGGGGCCAGGCCGCGCCCGCCGCGCAGCAGCGCCUGCCCUGCGGAGAGACGGAGAACGGGAGUGCAGUGAGGGGACACGGGAGUGCAGUGAGGGGACACGGGAGUGCAGUGAGGGGACACGGGAGUGCAGUGAGGGGACACGGGAGUGCAGUGAGGGGACACGGGAGUGCAGUGAGGGGACACGGGAGUGCAGUGAGGGGACACGGGAGUGCAGUGAGGGGACACGGGAGUGCAGUGAGGGGACACGGGAGUGCAGUGAGGGGACACGGGAGUGCAGUGAGGGGACACGGGAGUGCAGUGAGGGGACACGGGAGUGCAGUGAGGGGACACGGGAGUGCAGUGAGGGGACACGGGAGUGCAGUGAGGGGACACGGGAGUGCAGUGAGGGGACACGGGAGUGCAGUGAGGGGACACGGGAGUGCAGUGAGGGGACACGGGAACGGAGUGCAGUGAGGGGGACACGGGAACGGGAGUGCAGUGAGGGGAACUCAGAAAAUGGGAGUUCAGUCUGGAGAACUCAGAAAAUCGGGAGUUCAGUCUGGGGAACCCAGGAAAUCGGGACUGCAGCAUGGGAAAUGGGAUUUCAGUCAGGGGAACUCAGAAAAUCAGGAAUUCAGUCUGGGGAACCCAGGAAAUGUGAGUUCAGUGAGGGGAACAUGGGAAAUGGGAGUUCAGACACAGGAACCCAGAAAAUCUGGAUUGCAGUAAAGGGAACUCAGAAAAUCGGGAUUGCAGUAAGGAGAACUCAGAAAAUGGGAUUUCAGUCAGGGGAUUGGGAUGGGGAACACAGAAAAUGGGAGUUCACUCAGGGGAACACAGGAAACGGGAGUUCAAUCAGGGGAUUGGGGUGGGGAACCCAGAAAAUGGGAUUUCAGUGAGGGGAACCUGGGAAAUUGGGAUUGCAGUAAGGGGAAUGGUGGGGGGAACCCAGAAACUGGGAUUUCAGUAACAGGAAUUAGGGAAAUUGGGAUUCCAGUAUGGAAUGGGGCAUGGGGCACCCAGGAAAAUUGGGAUUUCAGUAAGGGUAAACAGACAAUCAGCAUUUCAGUCUGGGGAACCCAGGAAAUUGGGAUUCAGUAAGGGGAACCCAGGAAAUUGGGAUUUCAGUAAGGGGUAUCCAGAAAAUUGGUAUUUCAGCCUAGGGAAUGGCGUGGGAAACCCAAAAAAUGGGAUUUCAGACUGGGGAAUGAUGUGGGGAACCUAGAAAAUCCGGAUUUUUCCUGGGGAACCCAUAAAAUCGGGAUUUCAGACUGGGGAACAGCAAGGGGAACCCACACAAUCAGGAUUU